GGGAACUCAAAGGAGACUGCCAGUGAUAAACUGGAGGAAGGUGGGGAUGACGUCAAGUCAUCAUGGCCCUUACGACCAGGGCUACACACGUGCUACAAUGGCGCAUACAAAGAGAAGCGACCUCGCGAGAGCAAGCGGACCUCAUAAAGUGCGUCGUAGUCCGGAUUGGAGUCUGCAACUCGACUCCAUGAAGUCGGAAUCGCUAGUAAUCGUGGAUCAGAAUGCCACGGUGAAUACGUUCCCGGGCCUUGUACACACCGCCCGUCACACCAUGGGAGUGGGUUGCAAAAGAAGUAGGUAGCUUAACCUUCGGGAGGGCGCUUACCACUUUGUGAUUCAUGACUGGGGUGAAGUCGUAACAAGGUAACCGUAGGGGAACCUGCGGUUGGAUCAC
rnacentral:rRNA from 2 species